GGGAAGUCCCCCACCCGGAGCCCCGCCGAGGCCCAGAAGGUGUGGGCGAGCCCGCUGGCAGGAAAACGCGGCGGCCCGGCGGCCAGGCUUUCCUAGUCCCUGGAUGUGUCCGGGGAGGAACGUGGACUUUCUCUCCUUCCACAAGUAUUUAUUUAUUCAGCAGCUACUACGCCCUGGUCGGCCCUGAGGAGGGGCCGGACGUCGGGCUCCGGGCUGGACGGUGCCACGAGCCGCAGGCCUGGCAGGGCCCGGACACACAGCAUUUGUGCCCCCAGCCCCUCGGUCUGGGAGGGAGCCUCCCAGUCCCCACACUCUUCUCCAGCCAGGUCUACACCACCGUCGCCCAUUCAUAUUCUUCUGGGUUACUAAGAAGCUGCUUUUAGAGUAAAAAAAAAAAAACAAAAAAACGGAGGAAGACCCGGAGAUCAUUCACCUUUUGGUGUGAAUUCGCUUAAUCCGGCCGCCUAAUUUGUAAAGACUUCCCCACCCUGUGCGGGACGCAGCGCACAGCAAGGGCUUUCGGGGGUUUGGACCAAAGUCCGCCUCCCCUCCUGGGAGCACAGACCGGUCUUCCUCGUUUACACCCAGGAAACUAGGCUUCGCCCCCGCCUCCAGGGCCUGUGUUCAGCCCCACUCCAUUGAUCAGGAGGUGAUCACACAAGGCAAGCUUCUCCUGUUCCAGCUUCAUAACCAAGAAUGAUUGAAAAUAGGAGAAAGAAGUACUGUCAAAGAUAAUAUAGUACAAUGAAGUUGUACAGUGAAGCUCGAGAAUAUAAAUGUUAGCAGCGAUGGUGCUGUCCGAGCUGUGCCGGAGCAACCAAGGCAAAAGCGUCGUGCACGGAAUGACUGAGAACUUUGACCAGGUGCCGUGGACUCCUCAGAGGCAGUGACCCAGGACUGAGGCCCCAGAGCCACCUCCUGAGCAUCGUGGCCCCGGUGCCCCUCUCACGGGAGUUGCUGUCAGCCUUGAUGGUUGAAGCAGCCAUGGUAUCGAGAUUUCACUGGUAGAAACUAUUCCUUUUCUUCCCUGAAGAAGCAGGUCUCCUUCUACUUUGUUGGGGAGACCCCCUUUUUAAUAAACAAAAAUGAUGAGCUGUAAGUACAUAUUAAGGAUUAGGUUAUAUACAUGUAAAGAAUAAUCGUAAAGAUCAAGAAACAGAACAUGAUGAGACACGCAGGAGUGCCCUUCCCUCGUCACAGCCCCUCCCCACCGUGAGGUAGCUGUUCUCCUGAUUUUGUGUCAGUGACUUGUCCUCAUAGUUUACGCACAGGCACGCAUCCCUAAAUAAUGCAGCCCAGCUUUGCCUAGUUCCAAAAUCUGUAAGUGGGUUUAUGUGCAUGCUGCUUUAUUGCUCUUGAUGGCUCAGCAUUGUGUCCAUGAGAUUCUUUCAUCUUGUGAAUAUAGUUUUUUUAAAAUAAUAUUUAUAGUUUUACUAACUUUAAACAAAAAGUACGCCAUUGCUGUGGCAUAUUCCUUCAUAGGAGCGUGCAUGGUUCAUUUCUGCAUCCGCUUGUGAUGGCCUUCAGGUUCUUUCAGGUUUGGCUACUGUGGCUGCAGAGUCCAUGACCGUGUGUCCUGGUGCAGGGCCGAUGGGUUUGUGUUCAGCUGGAAGGAGCCCUGCGGGGCUGUGUGCACGGCCUUCGCUCUCUGAGGCCCGAUUGUUUCAGAAGUGGUUGCGUCCCCCCGCUGCGUACCAGGCUUUCCAUUGCCCCACAGCCUGCUGAUAUUUGAUACUAUGUCUUUCAUGUCUGCCAUUCUGGUAGGUGUAUGCGCUGUAUUUUUCUUAUGGUUUCAAUCCCUUGGUUGUUAGUGAAGUUGUGCAUCUUGUGGUAUUCAUGGACUAUUUCCUGUUGUUUUUUAAAAAGUUUUAAAAAUUGUGGUCAAAUACACAUAACAUAAAAUUUACUAUCUUAACC